rnacentral:tRNA from 1 species
GCAAAAGUGGCCGAAUAUUAGGCAAAAGACUGUAAAUCUUUCAAUGGCCAAAAGCCCAUUGCAA